AAUAAGAUUAUUUUUCGGUUUUUAGAUAUAAUGUUUUGACUUUUCGUCUUAUUUAAAAAAAUUUAUGAUUAAUAUUUUUAUUGUUACUAGAUGAUAAAACAUGAAUAAUAUUUUAUGUGUGACUAAUUUUUUUAAGUUUUUUUGCAAAAUUUUUAAAUAAGACAAAUGAUUAAACUUUGAACACAAAAAAUCGAAAAUGAUGUUAUU
rnacentral:pre_miRNA from 1 species